CCUACGGGUGGCAGCAGUGAGGAAUAUUGGUCAAUGGCCGGGAGGCUGAACCAGCCAAGUCGCGUGAGGGAAGACGGCCCUACGGGUUGUAAACCUCUUUUGUCAGGGAGCAAGGUGCAGGUCGGGACCUGCUGUGAGAGUACCUGAAGAAAAAGCAUCGGCUAACUCCGUGCCAGCAGCCGCGGUAAUACGGAGGAUGCGAGCGUUAUCCGGAUUUAUUGGGUUUAAAGGGUGCGUAGGCGGGUUAUCAAGUCAGCGGUAAAAUCGUGGAGCUCAACUCCAUCCAGCCGUUGAAACUGAUGAUCUUGAGUGGGCGAGAAGUAUGCGGAAUGCGUGGUGUAGCGGUGAAAUGCAUAGAUAUCACGCAGAACUCCGAUUGCGAAGGCAGCAUACCGGCGCCCGACUGACGCUGAUGCACGAAAGCGUGGGUAUCAAACAGGAUUAGAUACCCCAGUAGUC
rnacentral:rRNA from 1 species